GACGAACGCUGGCGGCGUGCUUAACACAUGCAAGUCGAACGGAAAGGCCCUGCUUUUGUGGGGUGCUCGCGUGGCGAACGGGUGAGUAACACGUGAGUAACCUUCCCUUGACGUUGGGAUAACUUCAGGAAACUGGUGCUAAUACCGGAUAGGAGCUCCUGCUGCAUGGUGGGGGUUGGAAAGUUUCGGCGGUUGGGGAUGGACGCGGGGCUAAUCAGCUUGUUGGGCGGGUAGUGGCUUACCAAGGCUUUGACGGGUAGCCGGCCUGGGAGGUGGACCGGCGACAUGGGGACUGAGGUACGGCCCAGAGGGCUACGGGAGGCAGCAGUGGGGAGUAUGACACAGUGGGCGGAAGCCUGAGGCAGCAACGCCGCGUGCGGGAAGACGGCCUUGUGGUUGUAAACCGCUUUCGCCUGUGACGAAGCGUGAGUGACGGUAAUGGGUGAAGAAGCACCGGCUAACUACGUG
rnacentral:rRNA from 1 species